GUACUGAUGAAGAGUCCCAAACUAAGACGGAACAGCUGUCCAGUAC
rnacentral:hammerhead_ribozyme from 1 species